UGUGUCUCGAGUGUGAAUCUCAUUCCGUCGUCCCUGGCCGAUCCUUGCUUGAAUCUAAUUGCUGCCUCUUACUUGGGAAUGGAAUGGAUGAAGCGAUAUGUAUGUGUGAGGGGAGAGGACUAAGAGAGUAUCCUUAACAGGCAAGAUUUCAGCUUCAAAGGUAAUUAAUAACCCCAUGACAGAAAUACUUGCAAGAAAGGAAUAAAUUGUGUUGACGGAAUUGACCCA
rnacentral:lncRNA from 1 species